rnacentral:rRNA from 1 species
GGGGGAACCUGAUGCAGCGACGCCGCGUGAGUGAUGACGGUCUUCGGAUUGUAAAGCUCUGUCUUCAGGGACGAUAAUGACGGUACCUGAAGCGGAAGCCACGGCUAUCUACGUGCCAGCAGCCGCCGGGUAUUAUCCGAUGCCAGCAGCCGCGGAUAAUA